rnacentral:rRNA from 1 species
UACGUAGGGGGCAAGCGUUGUCCGGAUUUAUUGGGCGUAAAGAGCGUGUAGGCGGCCAGACAGGUCAGCUGUGAAAACUCGAGGCUCAACCUCGAGACGUCGGUUGAAACCGUUUGGCUAGAGUCCGGAAGAGGAGAGUGGAAUUCCCGGUGUAGCGGUGAAAUGCGCAGAUAUCGGGAAGAACACCCGUGGCGAAGGCGGCUCUCUGGGACGGUACUGACGCUGAGACGCGAAAGCCAGGGGAGCGAACAGG